GAUGAACGCUGGCGGUGUGCCUAAUACAUGCAAGUCGAGCGAACAGACGAGGAGCUUACUCCUCUGACGUUAGCGGCGGACGGGUGAGUAACACGUGGAUAACCUACCUAUAAGACUGGGAUAACUUCGGGAAACCGGAGCUAAUACCGGAUAACAUGUUGAACCGCAUGGUUCAACAGUGAAAGACGGUCUUGCUGUCACUUAUAGAUGGAUCCGCGUCGCAUUAGCUAGUUGGUAAGGUAACGGCUUACCAAGGCAACGAUGCGUAGCCGACCUGAGAGGGUGAUCGGCCACACUGGAACUGAGACACGGUCCAGACUCCUACGGGAGGCAGCAGUAGGGAAUCUUCCGCAAUGGGAGAAAGCCUGACGGAGCAACGCCGCGUGAGUGAAGAAGGUCUUCGGAUCGUAAAACUCUGUUAUUAGGGAAGAACAAAUGUGUAAGUAACUAUGCACGUCUUGACGGUACCUAAUCAGAAAGCCACGGCUAACUACGUG
rnacentral:rRNA from 1 species